rnacentral:rRNA from 1 species
GAUUUUGGAGGAAAGUUGAAAGCACCAGUUCUCGUCCGAUCACUGAAGUUAAGCAACGUCGGGCUCGGUUAGUACUUGGAUGGGUGACCGCCUGGGAACACCGAGUGCUGUAGACU